rnacentral:rRNA from 1 species
CCUACGGGAGGCAGCAGUGGGGAAUAUUGCACAAUGGGCGAAAGCCUGACGCAGCGACGCCGCGUGAGGGAUGACGGUCUUCCGAUCGUAAACCUCUGUCAGCAGGGAAGCACGGUCACUGUGCUAAUCAGCAGUGAAUUGACGGUACCUGCAAAGGAAGCACCGGCUAACUCCGUGCCAGCAGCCGCGGUAAUACGGAGGGUGCGAGCGUUAAUCGGAAUUAGUGGGCGUAAAGCGCUCGUAGGCGGUAUGUCAAGUCAAGGGUGAAAUCCCCGCGCUCAACGUGGGAGCUGCCUUUGAAACUGGCAAACUGGAGUGGGCGAGAGGAUAGUGGAAUGCCAGGUGUAGGAGUGAAAUCCGUAGAUAUCUGGAGGAACAUCAGUGGCGAAGGCGACUAUCUGGCACAUAACUGACGCUGAGGAGCGAAAGCGUGGGUAGCAAACAGGAUUAGAUACCCCAGUAGUC